AUUCUGUAGAGAGAAGUGCAUUGUGUGCUGCAUGGUCAAUCUGACAUCUGCAUUGGCCAUGCAACAUUUACCGUGAUAUGGCCUCUGCAGAAGUCAAGGUAUUCAGACUGUACUAAUUGCGAUUUGCGGAGCAGCACAGAGCUGUUGUGAAGGAAGUUGUCAAGGAAGUGAGUUUGAUUAUACAAGAUGUACCGCCCCCACCUACUGUCACCAAAUAUGUCAAUGCGGAGCUAUUCAGAGCACUCAUUCUUAUAACAUUUGGGAGUUCGCACAGCGGUGUAGUACAGAGCUCAAUUUUGCCUUUGUAUGCCUCCACAAUUGUGUCACACCUUCCAUAUGGACAAUGGCGACCGUCAUUCAGAGCAGGCCCCACCCGUUUAGCAACAAAAAAAAGUGUUGUUUGUUUUACAUGUUAUUUUGUCCGUUUUUAAACAAUGUAUACAUUGUUUUUUAGUUAAAACACUUUGUUUCUUUGAGUAAGGCAAUCCCAGUGUUUCGGCCAAGCACAGUGCUUUCUGUGCUGGUGGGGCAGCCAGCUGGAAAAUACGGAGCGUGGGGGGGGUAAUGUUCUCUAGUUGCGCCGUGAUUGCCUCCGUGGUCUGUCACUCACACAAGGAGUCAUCAUCAUGAAUCAAGUCGACAAUCUACUGGCAAAUCCUUUUCAUAUGAAGAGAAGUUAUAGAUAAAACUAUAGGUGCUCGUCGACCAUUGGACAAAAAUUACACAAAUUGGAAAUCGCAAAUUCAACAAUGAGCGGUUUGGAAGGAAUCAGUGGCUAACUGCAAGCAUUGCAAAGCAAUCACUAGCCUGCUAGUCAGUGGAGAGGGUGUGUGGUCCAAGUCUGGGUUUAAGGGUCUCUUUUCCAAGCUUAAAAAGGAUCAACAUUGACGUGGACCAGGAAAGGUUGAAUACAUUGGCCAUGCUGUCAAUCCAGCAUGACUUCUGCAGCGUUCAAAACAAAUGGAAACUCUAAAAAAAACAUACUUGAGCGAGUUCAAGACAACUGGGAACUACGGGAAGAAAAAAAAACACAGAUCCGACUGGGAAAAUAUGUUGAGUGUAUAAGUCAGGAGCUCGGGCCUCUUUCUAGAGCUCCGACCUGAAGAUCGCUGACGUCAGGAUGGAGGCUGAAGUCCUGAACAAAUAGUUAUAUUGACUACGUCCGUCCCAGCUCACUCAUUAAUGUCUUCAUCAAAAUUAUGGAUUGCCUCUUAUCCGCUCGUCAUUCCCGUAUGCAGUUUGUACAUCUCAAUCGUCAGUAGAAACAACAUUUGUUUAACCAAGUCAGCCAUGUUUUUUUUUAAGGCAGUAAAUGAGGCUGAAUUAACUGUUUCACUGCCAGACAAAGCUCUGCUGAUAGCCAGGUAUAGCAGUGCAGAUCCCCCUCCUCCUCAGAGUCAUUGAGAUCCUCCCUCUCCCUCUUGAUGCUCUCCUCCUUCUUGAUGUUGCAGUGCUGCUGUGAGGACACCUGUCCAGGCUCAGGCUUUGCACCCUUCUCAUCUGCUCGCAGAAAGAGAGCGAUCCGGGUCAAACAAGCCAGAGAAAAAGUCGUCAAAAAUUGAAAAAUGAAAUCACUUAUCUGUACAUACAAGUCAUAGGAAUGCUGAGAUUGCCGAGAGUACAAACCAGCUCAUUCAUUUUUUUUUUUAUGUUAUAAAAGUUGACUGUCCACGUAACCUGGUUCAAACAUCUACCAUGUAACCCUGAAGGAGGCAUUGUAUGCCAAUACAUUGGUUGCUAUACGCAUUAAAUGUUUGGGAGUAUAGUG